GAUGUGCAGCAGGUGCGCAUUGUAAGCGCGUUGAUGUCUGGUUGGGGAGCGCCAUGCCAGCACAUUUUAAAAGGUCUUUGUUUGUUUGUUGAUUCAAAAAAAGGAAGGGGGAGAAAAGAGAGAGAAAAAGGAACGACGUGUAGCCUUUGUGCGGGUUAAAGUCCUCGGCGAGCAACGAGAGUGCAACAGGGAGAUAAGUGACAUUUGGGCUGGAGCGAACGAUACGAGCAAUGUAUAUGAUUAUGUGGGCUGGUGUGUGGAAUUAAUGAUUGCCUGAAGUACUGCUGCAGGAAAGUAUUCUAAGAUUGGCUCUGUGCGCUGUUGGGACUUCAUUGAUGAAGAUAGAAGAGCUGAAGCCUGAAGCCAUGCUGAAGCCUGAUUUAGAAGCAGACACGCUGUGAUCACGCUGAUGGGCAACUGAGCCCCAUUCUUUCUGCCUGAGCUCUACAGAGAAGCAGUUACGCUGCAGCUACGUCGGUGAGCAACUUGACCCCUUAUUCUCUCUGCCUGAGCCCCACAGAAUAGUCACGUUGAUGAGGACCUCCCUUGUGUGACCAAGUAGUGUUAUGGAUUCCAGUGGCCUCCAAUUCCGUCCAGGCCUACACGGCGAAACCAUCUGCUCAACAUUCUUAGACUUUUUAAAUUAAUUAAACAUCCCUUUUAAUCUGUU